AUGUUUAAGUCAGUUGUGAAAGUUUGCGGCCCAACCGUAAAAUUGCAGUUGAUACUGGAUAUCUUGAGUGCAGUGAGGGCAGGCGGAAUUCGUGGUGUAGCGGUGAAAUGCUUAGAUAUCACGAAGAACUCCGAUUGCGAAGGCAGCCUGCUAAGCUGCAACUGACAUGNAGGCUCGAAAGUGUGGGUAUCAAACAGGAUUAGAUACCCUGGUAGUCCACACGGUAAACGAUGAAUACUCGCUGUUUGCGAUAUACGGCAAGCGGCCAAGCGAAAGCGUUAAGUAUUCCACCUGGGGAGUACGCCGGCAACGGUGAAACUCAAAGGAAUUGACGGGGGCCCGCACAAGCGGAGGAACAUGUGGUUUAAUUCGAUGAUACGCGAGGAACCUUACCCGGGCUUAAAUUGCAGAUGAAUUACGGUGAAAGCCGUAAGCCGCAAGGCAUCUGUGAAGGUGCUGCAUGGUUGUCGUCAGCUCGUGCCGUGAGGUGUCGGCUUAAGUGCCAUAACGAGCGCAACCCUUGUUGUCAGUUACUAACAGGUUCCGCUGAGGACUCUGACAAGACUGCCAUCGUAAGAUGUGAGGAAGGUGGGGAUGACGUCAAAUCAGCACGGCCCUUACGUCCGGGGCUACACACGUGUUACAAUGGGGGGUACAGAGGGCCGCUACCACGCGAGUGGAUGCCAAUCCCCAAAACCUCUCUCAGUUCGGACUGGGGUCUGCAACCCGACUCCACGAAGCUGGAUUCGCUAGUAAUCGCGCAUCAGCCACGGCGCGGUGAAUACGUUCCCGGGCCUUGUACACACCGCCCGUCAAGCCAUGGGAGCCGGGGGUACCUGAAGUGCGUAACCGCGAGGAGCGCCCUAGGGUAAAACUG
rnacentral:rRNA from 1 species